rnacentral:rRNA from 1 species
AUGAACGCUAGCUACAGGCUUAACACAUGCAAGUCGAGGGGCAGCAUUUUAGUUUGCUUGCAAACUGAAGAUGGCGACCGGCGCACGGGUGAGUAACACGUAUCCAACCUGCCGAUAACUCCGGAAUAGCCUUUCGAAAGAAAGAUUAAUACCGGAUGGCAUACGAAUAUCGCAUGAUAUUUUUAUUAAAGAAUUUCGGUUAUCGAUGGGGAUGCGUUCCAUUAGUUUGUUGGCGGGGUAACGGCCCACCAAGACUACGAUGGAUAGGGGUUCUGAGAGGAAGGUCCCCCACAUUGGAACUGAGACACGGUCCAAACUCCUACGGGAGGCAGCAGUGAGGAAUAUUGGUCAAUGGGCGAGAGCCUGAACCAGCCAAGUAGCGUGAAGGAUGAAGGCUCUAUGGGUCGUAAACUUCUUUUAUAUGGGAAUAAAGUUUUCCACGUGUGGAAUUUUGUAUGUACCAUAUGAAUAAGGAUCGGCUAACUCCGUGCCAGCAGCCGCGGUAAUACGGAGGAUCCGAGCGUUAUCCGGAUUUAUUGGGUUUAAAGGGAGCGUAGGUGGAUUGUUAAGUCAGUUGUGAAAGUUUGCGGCUCAACCGUAAAAUUGCAGUUGAAACUGGGAGUCUUGAGUACAGUAGAGGUGGGCGGAAUUCGUGGUGUAGCGGUGAAAUGCUUAGAUAUCACGAAGAACUCCGAUUGCGAAGGCAGCUCACUAGACUGUCACUGACACUGAUGCUCGAAAGUGUGGGUAUCAAACAGGAUUAGAUACCCUGGUAGUCCACACAGUAAACGAUGAAUACUCGCUGUUUGCGAUAUACAGUAAGCGGCCAAGCGAAAGCAUUAAGUAUUCCACCUGGGGAGUACGCCGGCAACGGUGAAACUCAAAGGAAUUGACGGGGGCCCGCACAAGCGGAGGAACAUGUGGUUUAAUUCGAUGAUACGCGAGGAACCUUACCCGGGCUUAAAUUGCAACAGAAUAUAUUGGAAACAGUAUAGCCGUAAGGCUGUUGUGAAGGUGCUGCAUGGUUGUCGUCAGCUCGUGCCGUGAGGUGUCGGCUUAAGUGCCAUAACGAGCGCAACCCUUAUCUUUAGUUACUAACAGGUUAUGCUGAGGACUCUAGAGAGACUGCCGUCGUAAGAUGUGAGGAAGGUGGGGAUGACGUCAAAUCAGCACGGCCCUUACGUCCGGGGCUACACACGUGUUACAAUGGGGGGUACAGAAGGCGGCUACCUGGUGACAGGAUGCUAAUCCCAAAAACCUCUCUCAGUUCGGAUCGAAGUCUGCAACCCGGCUUCGUGAAGCUGGAUUCGCUAGUAAUCGCGCAUCAGCCAUGGCGCGGUGAAUACGUUCCCGGGCCUUGUACACACCGCCCGUCAAGCCAUGAAAGCCGGGGGUACCUGAAGUACGUAACCGCAAGGAGCGUCCUAGGGUAAAACUGGUAAUUGGGGCU